GUUCUGUUCCAUAAUAAACUACUGAUCCUCCGGUUCUGUCAGCUGGUCCGGUUCCGUUGGGCCAGAAGGAGGUCCAGUAAUGGGCUCAAACCAAUAAAACCAGUUAAACUCAUGAAGCCUCUCUCAUAGAAACAACUACAGCUGCCGCACAAGGGACUAAAUGCUUCCUGCCCCUCCUCCGUGGCGUCCCCCGUACUACCCCCAGUCCAGGACUCCGGGUGUGUCUCCACCCCUUCCUGUCCCAGUCCUGCGUCGUCCCCGCUGCUGGACUUCCUGUGAUGGCGGGACGGAGGACGCCGCCUGAUGGAGCCCCGUGGUCUGGCCUGGAGACGGACCAAUCACAGGACAGGUAACGCUCACCUGAUUCCCCACGGUGCUGCUCGGGUCGGGAGCCUGACCUUUGAACCUUCCUGCCAGUUCGGCCACGGAGCGGCGGGUUGGAGCCUCAUUCUGCAGACCAUCCUCUGUUGACCUGAGACGGUUUUGAGUUCUGAACCACCUGGGCCUGUCUGGUACCAACAAUCAUCUCUCUGCUGUGAUGCUCUGUGCGAACUGAUAAAGAGGAAGCUGCUGCUGCUGCUCUGCAAGAGGAAGUCACUCCCUCUUCAGCUCUCGGUUCUCUCUUUUACUGUCAUCAUGGCCGUCUGAACCCAGCUGGAGGUUCUGUUGGGUCUCAGAGUGGAACCCUGAGGAAGGAGCAUGGUUCUGCUCGCUCCACACAUGAACUGCCUGGACCAAUCAGACGUGGCGGUUUCGCGGCGCAGCAGGAAGACAGGAAGUGGUUGGAGGGGUGGAGUUAGCAGACAGGAAGAGACGAUGUUGAUGAUGAUGAUAGAGGAAACCUUAUAAGGUGAAAACUAGUUGCUCCCAGAAACAGGAUGGAGGUGUUGCUCAACGGCAGCAGCUGACUGACAGAACCCGUCCAGAACCUCCAGAACAUCUUCGUUCUACCAGGAGCCGAAAACAUCUACAGAAACAGGCUGCAGAUGAAUCACCAUGGUUACACGUAGAAACAGACUGGAGGUUGGAUGAGUCGGUUUCUUCUGCCUGAAGUUAUUUAGACUGAGAAACUGAGAGGGUGGAUAGAGAGAUGGAGCAAUGGAGGAGUAAUUUCUGCUCACUAUAAACGUCAUACUGUACUGAAUCUGUACCUGUCAGUCACUGACUCAGUACUGUAUGGACGGAUGACAUGAAGUUCCUCAGGUGGCCACUAGCGGCGCUGUCUCAGGAUCAGGAGAAUCUUUUGAGGUUAAAUAUCAAAUCUGAAACAUUUCUUUCUCAAUAAAAUGUUUUUCUUUUCAUGGACGGGUUAAACUUUCACUUCUUCAUUCUGUAACUCCAGAAAAGAAUCCCUGUUUCCAUCUUUGGCUCCAGAACCUGCUGGCUUAACUCCCAGUCCAGAUACUGGUCUCUGCUGGUUUCUGCAGUGCUCAGUGUGUGGCUCAGUGCUGCCACCUGCUGGCAGCGGAAGCUCAGCCCUGAGGAGGAGGAGGAGAAGGUCUUCAUCACCUUCUUUCACCAUAAUGUGUUCAAUCUGUUUAAACUGGGAUUAAUGGCUCAGAGACGCGUUUAGUGAAUAAAAGUUUAAUCUAUAUCCAUCAUCUGGAGCAGCUGCAUGUUUUCCAACUGAAACCAGAAAAAGUGCAAGAAACUGAAUAAACAUUUACAGAAAAAAAAAAAAAA